AAGGCAGAUGAUCUACAGAGACGCCUACCAGAACCCCAACAACGCGCUAUGGCCCUAGCACGUGAGAAAGGGGGCUCAAGCACACUUAAUACAAUACCUGUUGCAGAGCACGGAUUUUUCUUUGAUGCCAAAGCAGAUUUUCAUGACCACAUCAACCUUCGCUAUUGUUAACGCCCAUGGUCCGGGUUCUAGUCGACUAGAGGCUGUAUCUAGAAUCUUCUGAACAUGUCUGUACAAGGAGGAAAUUCUUUCCAAGAAAGUUACUUACUAACUUACUUACUAACUUACUUAGUCAGUCAGACGAAACGCGGUGAAAUAUGAAAAUAGCGCAAUUUUUCAAAUAUCAAUAGUAAUGCAUGAGAAUAUUCAUUGACUAUAAUUUCACACAUUUAGACAGAUAAAAGGCUAACUAAGCUAUCUGUCAACUCAGUUUCUUGCUGUGGCCCUUCCCUGCAGAAAUAGAGCAGUCUAAACACGAGUCAAAAUUUGUGCAAUAAUUGAAAACACACAACUGCACUGUCAAUCCUAUGUACAACCAUAGAUGUAGGAGAGAGGGAUUGGAAACAGAAGUAGAUUUCAAUGUACUUCACAUAUGACCUCGAUAAACAUCCGCGCCUCGCUUAAUGAGGGCUAAUCUAUUCCCCAGGAACUUCGCAGGUAACUGAGAUUAUUGCAAAUCUAGGUUGUCACUAGUAUUCUGUCAAGUUUUCCAGUAUCCAGUGCAACUGUGCUUUAUAUAGAUAGUGAAUAACCAUUAUUCAAGCUCUAUUUACCGUUGCAACUAUCUUCUUCAUUGAAUUUAGCAAUACCUCGCAAGCCAUGAGUACGCUGAAGAAAAGAAGACAGAAGAAUACCCCUCCUCUCUACACCCCUACACGUCACCGCCCUCGUAAAUGUUAUCGGCUGUUCCGGCUAUAUAUACACCCUUGUAUACCUCACCAGCUUCUCUCCAUCUAAGACUGUCUGAUUAGAGUGCUAAACUAAUCAUAAUUAUAGCUGUAAUAAUCAUUUUUAUCGUGUAAGUUUUUGUUAAUGUUGUUCGGUUUGA